rnacentral:rRNA from 1 species
AGUGAACGCUGGCGGUAGGCCUAACACAUGCAAGUCGAACGGCAGCACAGUAAGAGCUUGCUCUUACGGGUGGCGAGUGGCGGACGGGUGAGGAAUACAUCGGAAUCUACUUUUUCGUGGGGGAUAACGUAGGGAAACUUACGCUAAUACCGCAUACGACCUACGGGUGAAAGCAGGGGAUCUUCGGACCUUGCGCGAUUGAAUGAGCCGAUGUCGGAUUAGCUAGUUGGCGGGGUAAAGGCCCACCAAGGCGACGAUCCGUAGCUGGUCUGAGAGGAUGAUCAGCCAAACUGGAAGUGAAAAAAGGUCCAGACUCCUACGGGAGGCAGCAGUGGGGAAUAUUGGACAAUGGGCGCAAGCCUGAUCCAGCCAUACCGCGUGGGUGAAGAAGGCCUUCGGGUUGUAAAGCCCUUUUGUUGGGAAAGAAAAGCAGCGGGUUAAUACCCCGCUGUUCUGACGGUACCCAAAGAAUAAGCACCGGCUAACUUAGUG